UGAUUGGCCCCCUCCCUUAUCACUCACCAAUUCAAAACAAAUUAUUGGCUAAUGAUACGGUUGGCCCCUCUUAUAUUCCCCCACCUGUUGGGAGUUCUCUUGCUAUAUGUGUAUUUGUUUGCAUUCCAGUUACAUAACUCGAAAGUCUUUUCUCCGCUCAGUAUAAAGUGAUCGACACAAUGGCACAACGACCACGUUUUCAAAGCGCAACGGACAUAAAAAAAAAAAAGUUUUAAAAUAGCGAGGUGCGCCUUUAUUCCUCAGCUUCUUCACAGAGACAGACAUCCACCUGACCUGUCGCACCCGAACUGCGGAGGUGAGAAUAAAGACAUCUGCGGCUCGAAGUGCUUUUUAAAGAAAUAAACGGAAUAAAAGAUCAGCCAAGGUUAAUUGAGGCGGGGAAAAUGGUGGUGUUCAGAAUGGACCGCACGUCGACACGAAGUACAUUCUCGUGCUCCUUUUGACUCUUCAGGUCAUCCGAGUUUUCAUUCAUCCCACAAAUAUUUCCUUUUAAAUAAAUCAAAAUCUGAUAAUCCUUAUGUAUACCAGGGGGGUGUCUUCGCAGAAAUACCUGCAGAGUGAAGUCGCACAUUCUUCCGGCAAACAUGGAAUAAUUGCACGACAGUUUCAACACACUAGGACUUCCAUGAACGGGUUACAGGGGGUCCGGAGCCUAUGUUGGAGGCUGCGGGCGCAAGGCAGGGAAGAACCCAGGAUGGGGGGCCAACUUCCCACCUAUGGACAAGUUCGGCAGCCCUGUUCUUGAGAAACCCAAAAAUGAGAAGGUAAAUUAGGAUGCAUGAAAGGCAGCCUUGACGUGAGAAGCUGAGAAAGCCUGGGUCAGUUCAGGGAGCGGCCGGUGAGUCCGGCGAUGCUCCAACAUGACUCAGCCUCUCCUCCCAAACUGGCACAUCCAAAGAGAAGAGGGAAGGCCAGCGUCAGCCGCCACACGCCCAAGCAGAGGUAAACAUCUGCUGAGCGGCCCUCCCGGUCUCCUCGGCCAUCUGCUCCUCCGUCGCUGCACGUUAAUAAGCUGGUGGGGGCCCUCUGACGUUCUGCCCUAGGAGGAUACGGGAUAGACUUGGAAAAAUAAAAGAAAAAGUUUGAGUCCUUGUGCUUGAUUUUGCCCAUGAAGUGAUACAUGUGUCUCAGUGUAAUAAAUAAUAGGCAUGAAACCACUGGAUAAGAUUUCCAUGUCUGGCAGACUGCAGAGGCUUCAGACCGCAAAAUCCCAGCAAUGUUGCUGGUCCAGCCUCCCGCCGGCCCAGAGGAGAGACGCGCCAUGGCAAUAGCCCCAUCCCUCAGGAAACUAAAUGCCAGGUUGUUGAUGUUCUUGCUCAGGAGGGCGACGGCUUGGCUGCCACCAGGAAGACGGCAGGAAGGACUUUUCUGUCUUCGUGGUGGAGGUCAGUGGAGCAGGCAGAGUGGGGAAGACUUGUCGCCGAUUCCAGUACAGGCCCAUGGCUAUACUGCUUCUUGUUAAGCGCCGUGUGACUUGGGAAUUUUGAUUCGGUUUGCGCUGGUCACUCUUUGUCUGAAGUGGACUAGCCUGUACUGGAAGGCCGUGAUUCCUGGUGAAUGCCGGGCUUGAACAGUCUGAGGGCCGAGACAUCGGCCGGUUUGUUAUAGUCAUGAAGUUUCUCAGCUGGUGGGUUUGAUUUCACUGGCGUCGCUGGGAGUGUGGUUCAGAAAAGCUCCUGCAGUUCCACAAGUGAUCAUGGGUUCCAACCCCAAGGAAUACACUUAUAUUGUAACCCUUCCCUCUAAUGUAAAUGCCUUCAGAUAAAAGUUCGAUGUAGAAAAUAAUCAACAACUUUCCAAUUCUUACAGUGAAUCUGGCUUGUGACUUACUAUACUGAGGUCAAUCCAGUUGAGAACCACUAUAAUAAUCCAUGUUAUCAAUCAGGAGUCAUAAAUCUGUUCGGACGCAUCCGGAUUUUCUGUGUACGCUAUACAUUCCUUCUUUCUUUCUUUUUUCUCAUGCACAUUUGGACACGGCUGAGUAUUUCGAGAUGCGGCAGCGUUCGGCUUUACCGAGGCAUUUCUCGUCACCGGGAGCGAUGCGUCGUCCCCGCGGCGACCGGAGUGACUUCAGCACAGGCUGAGUGGAGUCCCGCUUCCCCCUCCCUGCCGUGUGUGUUUUACCCGGAGUGAGGGCCAGCACUGGCGUAUGGGACAGUCCAAAGGAGUCAAUCAGAGCAGCGGUGUUUCUCUUGGACGUGGCCCCCAGUCUUGGCAGCACACAGACCCAAUUUAGCAGCGCUCUGGCGGACAGGCUGCCAAAGGAGUGUGCUAGCACUGGAGCUAGCCAAGGCUAACUCUGCGAGGCCAAUGGUGAGUAAUCAGCCCCCACGCCUGCAGAGAAAAUAUGCUGCUCAAGAUACUGGAGAACUGAACGUUUGGAUGAAAGUAACGGGGGAAAUGAAUAGAUAUUGAGAAUUAUAAUGAUGGUCAGAGGUGAAUGAAGACCCUAUUUGGGAUGUUUCCGCUACUUUUUUGCCCCCAUGGAAAGUUAUUUUUCCAAAUCCAUUUAGCAAUUUAUCCUGUGAAUGUGAAUCCUAUGGGAAUGUGAAUCCCACGUUUCUAGCUGAUUUCCACUAGUGGUCACAUCCUAGAAUUGCUCCGAUAAUGAUCAUGCUAAAAUUUCAAAUGGCUACUGUGUUCAUCAUUUCUUAUCAAUGGUUAACUUUGGAUCCACGUCAUCUUCGUUUCUCCUUUUUUCCUUCUUUUGGAGAAUUAAAAUCCCAUCACUGCAUGAGCAGGUUUUCCCUUUUUGUAACACAGGUGAUGACAGGGUGCUCGCAAUCCUUCUCGUCAUCCAAACGGAAUCCGGCAAACGUCCGUGCGGAGUCGUGGGAGGGCCUGCUGUUUGUUUGUUUGUCUUUGCACUCUUCUGUGCACCCACAGAAACCGCAUACUGCCAGUUGGGCAUGACGCGCACCUUCCCCCCCCCCGCGCUUUCGUGCCAACGCUGAGGCCGGUGGAGACGUCGCCUGGGUGCUUUCUCGCGUUUUCGGGCAAGUGGAUUCACUUCAUUUAGCGUCAAUAGAGUCUUCAAAGAGCUGAGGAGACUGCGAUGGGUGUCUGACAGGCAAGGCACCUUGCAAGGGGCUGUUUUGAACAUUCCUUGGGGCUGGGCUUGGCACACACGCUCCAAUCGUGUGUGUGUGUGUGUGUCGGUGUAUUUUUUCUGACUUGUGUUAAGCUGUAUUUUCAAACGGAAGAUGUAAACAUUUUGCUCGCAUGAUCGCAUGUUGUAAUUUGAGCCCUGAGCAAAUGACACAACAUUCGAUCCGCACCCUUUCAUAAGCUGAAGACUAGCGUGUUAAGGAUUAGUGAGAAGGCUUGUUUUUUUAACGUUCUUUUUAUUUCUAUUUUUUUUUAUCCAGCCUCCGAGGUUGUCACGCAUCUGUAAGCUGAGAAAAGUUUCCUCGGUAAUCAAUCACCAAAGCCGGCCGUCAUUGGUGGGGUUAGCAGAGAGCUAAAGGGUACCCGUGUGGUCAAGGUUACUCUCCUUAACCCUACUAUGGCUUCCGGAAGGCUUCCCGCCAUUCUUACCGAGCAUUCGCUCCAUCGCGCACACGCAAGCACAUGCCCCCGAGCGUUUUCCGUGGGGAAUCCGAGAGCUGAUGCUAAUAGCUACCAGUUUGUCAUCAUCAACUUUUUCCUAAGUCAAGAUUCUACUUUCUUGAAGCAAUUUCGUAGCGACCUGAAGAGAAUGAUGUUUCUUUCGGUUUGCAGAGGAUCUCCGGCAUUCCUUUGGGAAACCGUCAUUGAGAGUUUGCGAGAAACUUGCUUGCAAGUCACAAGACUCAAUAUUCCCAUUUAGAAUUUUACAAAUUACCGUGCUUCAUGAAGCUGCC